GUACUAGGUGGGGAGCUAGUGGUGCCCUGUACCCACAAUCCACUACAGUGGGGCUGAAUGGUUAAACCCGGGGCGGACUUAUUUGUGUUGAGUAGUCUUGCGGUAUGUUGAAAUGAAGGUCUUAUACAAUAUCGCCCUUCGAACUAUGUCAGGAUCGGAAGGUAGCAGCAUUAAGAGGGAUACGGUAUGUGCUAUAGGGUAGCUUUGAUGGAGU
rnacentral:SRP_RNA from 1 species